rnacentral:rRNA from 1 species
GACGAACGCUGGCGGCGUGCCUAAUACAUGCAAGUUGAGCGAUGAAGAUUGGUGCUUGCACCAAUUUGAAGAGCAGCGAACGGGUGAGUAACGCGUGGGGAAUCUGCCUUUGAGCGGGGGACAACAUUUGGAAACGAAUGCUAAUACCGCAUAACAACUUUAAACAUAAGUUUUAAGUUUGAAAGAUGCAAUUGCAUCACUCAAAGAUGAUCCCGCGUUGUAUUAGCUAGUUGGUGAGGUAAAGGCUCACCAAGGCGAUGAUACAUAGCCGACCUGAGAGGGUGGUCGGCCACAUUGGGACUGAGACACGGCCCAAACUCCUACGGGAGGCAGCAGUAAGGAAUCUUCGGCAAUGGACGAAAGUCUGACCGAGCAACGCCGCGUGAGUGAAGAAGGGUUUCGGAUCGGAAAACUCUGUUGGUAGAGAAGAAAGUUGGUGAGAGUGGAAAGCGCAUCAAGUGACGGUAACUACCCAGAAAGGGACGGCUAACUACGUG